GGGGGUGUAAAGGUUUCGACGGGGGUGUAGAAGCCGGAUCAGCGAGCCGUAGUCGCCAAGUCUACGUUAAAAGUGGCCGUUUAAAUAUAAACGCUAAAAAGAAUAACAAUUUCGCAUUUGCUGCUUAAUUAACGCAGCGCGCGUGUCAGCUCCGGUUUACCUGUAGGCUGGAGAUCUGGCAUCGAUUAUACAGGAAAACCUUGCGAGAGUUUCCGGUAUCGUAAGGGAUUUACGGAAUAGUGCUUCUGUCAGCUUGCUGACGGGCGGUCAGAGGCGCGAACUUUAAAUCAUCAGCUGCGCUCGGAGAAAGUCCUGUGGAAAUGCUUUCGGACAGGAGUUCGACUCUCCUCAUCUCCACCA
rnacentral:tmRNA from 1 species